rnacentral:rRNA from 1 species
UACGAAGGGGGCUAGCGUUGCUCGGAAUUACUGGGCGUAAAGGGAGCGUAGGCGGAUAGUUAAGUUGGGGGUGAAAGCCCGGGGCUCAACCUCGGAAUUGCCUUCAAUACUGGCUAUCUUGAGUAUGGGAGAGGUGUGUGGAACUCCGAGUGUAGAGGUGAAAUUCGUAGAUAUUCGGAAGAACACCAGUGGCGAAGGCGACACACUGGCCCAUUACUGACGCUGAGGCUCGAAAGCGUGGGGAGCAAACAGG